rnacentral:rRNA from 1 species
GACGAACGCUGGCGGCGUGCCUAAUACAUGCAAGUAGAACGCACAGUUUGUACCGUAGCUUGCUACACCAUAGACUGUGAGUUGCGAACGGGUGAGUAACGCGUAGGUAACCUGCCUGGUAGCGGGUGAUAACUAUUGGAAACGAUAGCUAAUACCGCAUAAUAUUAAUUAUUGCAUGAUAAUUAAUUGAAAGGUUCAAUUGCACCACUACCACCUGGACCUGCGUUGUAUUAGCUAGUAGGUGAGGUAACGGCUCACCUAGGCGGAGAAACAUAGCCGAACGUGGAAGGGGGUCGGCCACACUGGGACUUGGACACGGCCCAGACCUCUACGGGGGGGAGCCGGAGGGAAACUUCGGCAAAGGGCGAAAGGCUGGCCGAGGAACGCCGCGUGAGUGAAGAAGGUUUUCGGAUCGGAAAGCUCUGUUGUUAGAGGAGAACGGGUGUGAGAAUUGAAAGUUCACGUUGUGACGGUAUCUUAGCAGAAAGGGACGGCUAACUACGUG